AAUCUGAAAAAGAAUUCAAGUAUAUAUAGUUUCAUAUAAGAAAUAACUCUUCACUUUUUUCUGCUAGCUACUACUCCUUGGAGAAUGAGGUUGACCUAGUUGCAUUUGACAAGGUUGACUGCUAUGUGACCAAAGAGGACCUAAUAAAUCAUGGCAUUUGAAGAACAUCCUGAGUUCACAGAGGGCAAUGGCACCUCAGCAGACAAAGCGAGCUGGAGGUCACCGACAGCAUCCCAGCAGCUGCAGAAAAUGCCAGGCGACCAGCCAGAUUGGAGCUGCAUUGCCCGAGUCUAUGAAGUGGCUGCAGAGGAUUGCAAUACUUGCGAAUCCCCAAAGAGCUUUCAAAUGUGCCCCCAAAAUAAGAUGUUUAAAUACCUGACAGGCCUAGAGAGCAUGAAGUCAACUUGCAAUGCUACUGAUCAAAUGAGAAUGUUCCUUCGUCCCUUUCCUCUCCUGCCUUCCCCAGUAUAACCAUGACAGGACAAUAAGAUGGGGGACAAGGUUUUGGAAGUAUAAGACAGGGAUAGGAGUAGAGAACAUGGGGCAAGGUGAUUUAAACCUGUGUUUGUGGCCUAAAGUGACCAGGGCAUUUUGUAAUCUAACCAUGAACCAAAAACUUACGAGACUUCCCAAGGUUACAUCUGGGGAGUGGAAGAACUUUUCUCUACUGAAUGAAUUUUAUAAAUACAGUGGGAGGCAGAAGUAAAGAUACUUGUGAAUUAUAUCUCAGGAGUUCUGCUUAUUCAGCACCCUGGUCACAGAGCCACCCCUUUGCUCUGGGCCCCCAGAACAAAGAGGCAGUAGGACACAGGAAGAACAGUGUCCUCAGUGAUCCAGGGACUCAAAGACAGGCCAAUGUGUGAUGUUUUAGCCCCUCCUCUGGCUGCAGUGGCAGGGCUGGGGUCAGAGGGAGGAUGUUAUUGUGGAGAGUGCUGUUUCUUUUGAUGUGCAAGGAGGGGUACUAUGGGCUGAAUGUGUGUCCUCCCAAGUUCAUAUGUUGAAAUCCUAAUACCAAGGUGGUUGUAUUAGGGAGGUGGGGCCUCUGAGAGGUGAUUAGGUUCUGAGGGUAAAGGCCUCAUGAACGGGAUUAGUGAUUUCAUAAAAGAGGCUCCAGAGAGCUGUUUUGCCCAUUCCGCCAUGUUAGGACCAGCGAGAAAGCACCAUCUGUGAACCAGAAAGUGGGCCUUCAUCAGACCCUGAAUCUGCCAGUGCCUUGAUUACGGACCUCCCAACCUCGAGAACUGUGCAUAGACUGGCGGCUGCCAGGGGAUAAGGAAGCAGUGGCAUUGGAAUUCAAGACUGUCUCUCUGACCUUCCUGAAUGACUCAGCAAUAUGAAGUUAAAAUCAGGUUCUUCUUUGGAAUUGGUGGCUGGCUGCUUGCUUAUGAGUGUAGACAUGUGACCCAAACACUCCUCCAUCACUGCUCUGUGGCCUCAGGUAGCUAACAGCUCAGACACAUCCACCUUUGUCAUUUGACACCUUAGUUUUGCUCUGCCCUGAGACUACCAAGCAUAGGUUUACGUGGGAAGGUGAGGUAAAGUAUUUUUGUUUCAAAAGAACUAUUUGCCUGAAAAAGCACUUAUCUUGAGAUUUCUUUAAAUGUUAAACUCUCCAAAUAUCUCUCUAAUUAAUUCUAUUUGUGAAAAUUCUAUUUAGAUAUUCAGUAGAUGUGGUAUGGUAUGAAUUAGCACGUGUCUAUAGCAAAUUACAAUACUAGAUGUAAAACAUAUUUGAAAUGAAUUGUUAUCAUUUUGAAACUGUUCAAAUUGAUGUAGUAUUUUAAAAUGAUAAGCUGUCCUGUGCUGCAUUGAAAAUCCCUUGAAAGGUGUGUGGGGAAUGUGCUAUUGGAGGCACAAAAAUGUCUGGUUUUAAAACAAUA
rnacentral:lncRNA from 1 species